CCAUCCAUCCAUCCAACCAGUUCGAACCAGUUCAGUUUCAACGGUUGAAACUUCAAACUUUCCGGACGCGCAACGGGUAGCAGUUGGGGUCUUCGCGGCUGCAUUCCACUGGUUGUUAUACGAAAAUCUUUCGAAAUUCUAAUCUCCCGCGCGUUUUGUCUUGCAAUUUUUGAGCAUAGCGAGAACGUACGCCGUGCUGUCCAGUGAUAAAAGCUGUUGAGCGCAGCAGAGCUCCCAGAGUACUGUGGUGGACAACGUUUCUUUUUUCUCUGGCUUUCAAGUUUAAGGGGUGCUUGGACUAUCUUGCAUCGGUGGAUAUGAAAAUAGUGGUAACCUACCCUACGAAACAGCUGUUUGCACAUAAGCUUAACAGUUCCCUGUGAGAUGCUGUGAAAGUCAGCAGGGAAGUGCGAUGUAGAAGAAACGACUGC